rnacentral:misc_RNA from 1 species
UCCGAGUUGACCCCGGCAGUCUCCCACGAGUCCCCGGCAUAACCCGCUGGCAACAUGGGAUAAGGGUUGCGCUCGUUGCGGGACUUAACCCAACAUCUCACGACACGAGCUGACGACAACCGUGCACCACCUGUGCACGGCCCUUACGGACCUUCCAUCUCUGAAAGAUUUCCGUACAUGUCAAGCCUAGGUAAGGUUCUUCGCGUUGCAUCGAAUUAAGCAACAUGCUCCGCCGCUUGUGCGGGCCCCCGUCAAUUCCUUUGAGUUUCAGCCUUGCGGCCGUACUCCCCAGGCGGGAUGCUUAUCGCGUUAGCUGCGACACUGACCGGGUCGAUCCGCCCAGCGUCUAGCAUCCAUCGUUUACGGCGUGGACUAC